CAGUCGCCGCGGUAAUACGUAGGGUGCGAGCGUUAAUCGGAAUUACUGGGCGUAAAGCGUGCGCAGGCGGUUGUGUAAGACAGGUGUGAAAUCCCCGGGCUUAACCUGGGAACUGCGCUUGUGACUGCACAGCUAGAGUAUGGCAGAGGGGGGUGGAAUUCCACGUGUAGCGGUGAAGUGCGUAGAGAUGUGGAGGAACACCGAUGGCGAAGGCAGCCCCCUGGGCCAAUACUGACGCUCAUGCACGAAAGCGUGGGGAGCAAACAGGAUUAGAUACCCCGGUAGUCCCUGUCUCUUAUAC
rnacentral:rRNA from 1 species